rnacentral:rRNA from 1 species
GGUGCUGCAUGGCUGUCGUCAGCUCGUGUCGUGAGUAUGUGGGUUAAGUCCCGCAACGAGCGCAACCCUUGCCUUUAGUUGCCAGCAGUUCGGCUGGGCACUCUAAAGGGACUGCCGGUGUUAAACCGGAGGAAGGUGGGGAUGACGUCAAGUCCUCAUGGCCUUUAUGACCAGGGCUACACACGUACUACAAUGGCCGAUACAAAGGGCAGCGACACUGCGAGGUGAAGCCAAUCCCGUAAAAUCGGUCUCAGUCCGGAUUGGAGUCUGCAACUCGACUCCAUGAAGUUGGAAUCGCUAGUAAUCGUGGAUCAGCAUGCCACGGUGAAUACGUUCCCGGGCCUU